GGUAUUAUCCACACGUUUGCGCAAGAACCACUUAACCCUAACGUUCAACAAUGGAGAUCAAUAGACCGUGUGUACUCGCAAAAGUUCUACAGGUUUCCCGCUUUCGAUUUGGCCAUUUUGCAAACAAAUCGACCAUUUAUAUUCACCCAAUUUGUGAAUAAAAUUAAAUACGCUUCAUUGAAUCAAGAUUUUGAUGGGACGUGUUUAUCUACCGCAGUCAGACCAAUUAGGAGUUGGGCCAUCAACAAAUAUGUAUUUGUCGAAGAGGUGAAGUUGAUAAGUCGUCGUCCGUGCGAGCUACGAUUGCUAAGAAGCUGUC